rnacentral:misc_RNA from 1 species
GAUGAAGAACGUAGCGAAAUGCGAUAAGUAAUGUGAAUUGCAGAAUUCAGUGAAUCAUCGAAUCUUUGAACGCACAUUGCGCCCGUCAGUAUUCUGGCGGGCACGCCUGUUCGAGCGUCAUUACGCCCCUCAAGUCCCCUGUGGACUUGGUGUUGGGGAUCGGCGAGGCUGGUUUUCCAGCACAGCCGUCCCUUAAAUUAAUUGGCGGUCUCGCCGUGGCCCUCCUCUGCGCAGUAGUAAAACACUCGCAACAGGAGCCCGGCGCGGUCCACUGCCGUAAAACCCCCCAACUUUUUAUAGUUGACCUCGAAUCAGGUAGGACUACCCGCUGAACUUAAGCAUAUCAAUAAGCGGAGGA